ensembl:snRNA U6 U6 spliceosomal RNA
GUGCUUUCUUCAGCAGCACAUAGAUUAAAACUAGAAUAAUGCAGAGAAGAUUAACGUGGACCCUGUGCAAGGAUGACACACAAAUUUGGGAAGUGUUCAAUAUUUAA